rnacentral:lncRNA from 1 species
CUUCUUAAUCUGAGCAGCAUCCAGAAAAGUGGUUUCUUCAAUAAUGUCAGUCGGCAAGUCAUUUGCAAACAAGGCAAAGUCGAGGAUUUGGAGACCAGGGUCUGGACUGCUGAAGGAUACAAAUGCCAAGGAUUGAGUUUUGCCUGCAUUGAUUUGGAAAUGUAAUAAACCUUGUGGGAAUACCAUAAUGUCUCCUUUAUUCAGAGAUUUGAAGUAAACUUUGUUAGCUGAGGAUAUGAAACCAGCACAAAUUGUGCCUUGAAUAACAACAAGGACUUCAGAAGCCCCAGGGUGUGUAUGCAUAGGUAUCACUCCACCAACAGAUAAAUCCAAACGAGCUAUUGAAAUGCCGAGUCCGUUAACACCCGGGAAUUGAGCCGAAAAGGCUGGUGUUACUGCAGCUUUUAUGAGGUUCGAAGUGUUGCCUGUGGCAGCGAGGCCGGAGUAAACGAAGUCAUUUACGGUGACUGUCUUCUUGCAAGAAUAGCCUGCAGGGCCUACAGGGCCAUUCAAGUCCCCAACACAGAAGUCGGCUGCGUUGGUGGAGGAAAAUAGGAAAGAUAAAAUGAAAAAGAUUGGGAUAAACAUGUUUAUGGCACUGGUUUUU